rnacentral:lncRNA from 12 species
AACCUAAGGAAAGGGGGGCCCACAUGGGAAGAGGGUAACCCGGGGGCAAGGGAGGACCCCCAUGGGAAAGGGGGACCCCGUGGGUAAGGGGGACCCCGUGGAUACGCCGGGACAGGGAAUGCGGGGCUGGAACCGCAGCAGGGCCUGGACAGGGCCUCCGAGCCCCGGGCCAGGCCACCCACAGCGCCGCGUCUCGGCCCGUCACCCACAGGAUGCCUUUCCCUACGGGUCAAACCACUGCCGAGACCCCGCCUCGUUCCCCAGAAUCCUCUGAACUAACCGUGACGAAAGAAUCGCCAACGGCCGGGGUCCAGGCUGCCCGACAGGUGCGCCAGGGGACGGCCCGGGCAGGCGUGGGGCGGGCAGGCCGGGGCGCUGGGAGAGACAGGUCGGCGCUGGGCCCAAGUACCCCAGGGAAGAGCGCUCCGGGGACGCACGCGCACACUCGCGGCCUCUCACGCUCCGUCUCACGCCCGCGGCCCCGCAGGCAGUCACACGCCGUGUCACCUACACGACCGCACACACACCCCACUUCCCACCCUAACCCCGCGCAAGGUCGUUCUUCCCGAAUCUCACUCCUGCUGGACGCGGGGAGGCAGGGGGGCCUUGGCCCCAGGCAGGAGCCCACAAUCCGUGACCCCAGGGCUCGGGGUCGGGCAUCCCCGCAGCCCAGGCUCUGGGAGGAAGCGCCCACCCUCUCCCACCUGCCUCCCUGGUGCCACAGAGCUGGAGACGCCCUCCAUCCGCGCUGCCCCACGGUACCCCGGGGGGCUCUGGGGCGCGGGACAUGUGGCCGGUUCGUUGAAGAACUGAGUUUUUCAUCUCAGUUCCUCUCAACUGCCACUGGGCUUAGAGGCCACGGUCCUGGACGGUCCAGAUCCUGAGCCCCGCCGCUGCGCCUGCCCUCCCAGCCCAAGAGCGACGCUGCACAUCAGCGUAGGAGCUUCAGAGGACAGAAGCGGGGAUGUCGCCCGGCUCAGCUGCCCUGCCUGUGCUCCCUGCGGGCGCAGCCUUUCAAAAAUCACUGCUCAGCCUCCAGCUCCUCUGCCUCCCUCCCUGCCUUCCUCCCUCCCAUCUUUCUUUCUUUCUUUCCUUUCCUUCCUUUCCAUCCUCCCUCCCUCUCUCGGCCCCUCCCUCCUUCCCACUCCAUUCUUCCUUCUCUCCUUCCAUUUCUUCUUCCUUCUUUCCUUCCUCUCUUCCUCUCUUUCUUUUCUCCCUUCCUCCCUUCCCUUCUUUCUUAGAAAAAAAAAGAAAAAGAAAAAGCAUCAGUUUAAUUAGAUAAAUCCUCUGAGCACGUGGCCUGGAGUUCGUCAUGGAAAUUAACCUGCUCCCAGAUCCAGGGAGUGAAACAAGAACCGGGGUGUUCUGGCAGAGCAGAGUGAAAUGGGAGAGGCCGGGGCGAGCCAUAUACCUUGCCUUCCAUCAGCGCCCCUCGCCCCUCGGGUGCCCCCAGCCCCGCAGCCCCCGUGUCCUUGCCUCCUGAGGUCACUGCCUCGAGCCUCCUCUGCUGCUUCUCCUGGCCCUUUCCUCGCACCUCCGCCCAGGCCGGGGCCGCUCCCCAGGGCAGGAUCACCCUCGGCAGGGCGGGGGGAGGCCUGGGCUCCGUCCCCACCGUGCCCGCUUCCCUGCCAGCUCGCUGAGCACUUAGUAGGAGGCCCUCCAGGGGCCGGCUCGGCCCGGGCCAAGGUCAGCCUGCUACUCCUCGAACGUUCAUCCCGCAGCCCCUACUGUGUGCUGCUCACCGGCCAAGUGACUUCCACGGAUGAUGCGCAAAAUCAAGCCUCCGUGAAUGAGAGCCAUGACUACUGUGCUUUCACUCAGGGGCCGCAGAUGGAAUCCCAACCCCAUUUUAUGGACCCAGGAACAAAGGAUUAGAGAAAUGAA